UACAGAGGGUGCGAGCGUUGUCCGGAAUCAUUGGGCGUAAAGGGCGCGUAGGUGGCGCGGUAAGCGUGCGGUGAAAGCCUGGGGCUCAACCCCGGGUCGGCCGUGCGAACUGCUGGGCUUGAGCACUGUAGAGGCAGGCGGAAUUCCAGGUGUAGCGGUGAAAUGCGCAGAUAUCUGGAAGAACACCAGUGGCGAAGGCGGCUCUCUGGGACGGUACUGACGCUGAGACGCGAAAGCGUGGGGAGCGAACAGG
rnacentral:rRNA from 1 species